CGCGUGGGAAUCUACCCAAUACUACGGAAUAGCUCCGGGAAACUGGAAUUAAUACCGUAUGUGCUACGGGGGAAAGAUUUAUCGGUAUUGGAUGAGCCCGCGUUGGAUUAGCUAGUUGGUGAGGUAAAAGCUCACCAAGGCGACGAUCCAUAGCUGGUCUGAGAGGAUGGUCAGCCACACUGGGACUGAGACACGGCCCAGACUCCUACGGGAGGCAGCAGUGGGGAAUUUUGGACAAUGGGCGCAAGCCUGAUCCAGCCAUGCCGCGUGAGUGAAGAAGGCCUUCGGGUUGUAAAGCUCUUUUACCAGGGACGAUAAUGACGGUACCUGGAGAAUAAGCCCCGGCAAACUUCGUG
rnacentral:rRNA from 1 species